rnacentral:rRNA from 1 species
AUUGAACGCUGGCGGCAUGCCUUACACAUGCAAGUCGAACGGUAACAGGUCUUCGGAUGCUGACGAGUGCCGAACGGGUGAGUAAUACAUCGGAACGUGCCUAGUAGUGGGGGAUAACUACUCGAAAGAGUGGCUAAUACCGCAUGAGAUCUACGGAUGAAAGCAGGGGAUCGCAAGACCUUGUGCUACUAGAGCGGCCGAUGGCAGAUUAGGUAGUUGGUGGGAUAAAAGCUUACCAAGCCGACGAUCUGUAGCUGGUCUGAGAGGAAGAUCAGCCACACUGGGACUGAGACACGGCCCAGACUCCUACGGGAGGCAGCAGUGGGGAAUGUUGGACAAUGGGCGCAAGCCUGAUCCAGCAAUGCCGCGUGCAGGAUGAAGGCCUUCGGGUUGUAAACUGCUUUUGUACGGAACGAAAAGCCCUGGGUUAAUACCCUGGGGUCAUGACGGUACCGUAAGAAUAAGCACCGGCUAACUACGUGCCAGCCGCCGCAGUAA